rfam:Pteropus alecto contig169466, whole genome shotgun sequence.
GUUUACUUCGGAAGUCAUGUAGUAAUAUUAGAUCAAUAAUGAGAAAAUUAGCGUAGCUCUUGAUAAAGAAUGAUGAAUAGGCUUAUGAAGUUAUCCAGAAUUUU